GCGAGCGUAUAAUGUGAGAGUCUGAGUGUGUGAGUUCGAGUGAUUACUAGCAACAAGACUAGCCUGUGAUUUACUUGGAUUGAACCACAUCCAAAGAUGAGGUACCUUGCCCUUCAAGGGGUCUGCUGUGCCAGGUAUAGACAGAACAUGAUGAAGAUCUGCAAAUUAUUCGCUUGAUAGCUUCAACACAGUUUGGACGUUCAAAGGACACAAAAUGAAUCCUGCAAGGACUCCAAGAUCUCCGACGUCAGAAGUCGAUCGAUGCAUUUGGGCACAGGCUUGAUUUUGAAAGAGCCAUCAGCUUGA